ACCUGGGCUACAUUGUCCUACA
rnacentral:misc_RNA from 1 species